rnacentral:rRNA from 1 species
AUUGAACGCUGGCGGAAUGCUUUACACAUGCAAGUCGAACGGCAGCACGGACUUCGGUCUGGUGGCGAGUGGCGAACGGGUGAGUAAUAUAUCGGAACGUGCCCAGUCGCGGGGGAUAACGUAGUGAAAAUUACGCUAAUACCGCAUACGAUCUAUGGAUGAUAGCGGGGGACCUUUGGGCCUCGCGCGAUUGGAGCGGCCGAUAUCAGAUUAGGUAGUUGGUGGGGUAAAGGCUCACCAAGCCAACGAUCUGUAGCGGGUCUGAGAGGACGACCAGCCACACUGGGACUGAGACACGGCCCAGACGCCUACGGGAGGCAGCAGUGGGGAAUUUUGGACAAUGGACGCAAGUCUGAUCCAGCCAUUCCGCGUGCAGGACGAAGGCCUUCGGGUUGUAAACUGCCUUUGUACAGAACGAAAGGGUCUCUACUAAUACUAGGAGCUCAUGACGGUACUGUAAGAAUAAGCACCGGCUAACUACGUGCCAGCCGCCGCAGUAA